rnacentral:rRNA from 1 species
AUUGAACGCUGGCGGCAGGCUUAACACAUGCAAGUCGAGCGGGGUGAUGGUGCUUGCACUAUCACUUAGCGGCGGACGGGUGAGUAAUGCUUAGGAAUCUGCCUAUUAGUGGGGGACAACAUCUCGAAAGGGAUGCUAAUACCGCAUACGUCCUACGGGAGAAAGCAGGGGAUCACUUGUGACCUUGCGCUAAUAGAUGAGCCUAAGUCGGAUUAGCUAGUUGGUGGGGUAAAGGCCUACCAAGGCGACGAUCUGUAGCGGGUCUGAGAGGAUGAGCCGCCACACUGGGACGGAGGCACGGCACAGACUCCUACGGGAGGCAGCAGUGGGGAAUAUUGGACAAUGGGGGAACCCUGAUCCAGCCAUGCCGCGUGUGUGAAGAAGGCCUUAUGGUUGUAAAGCACUUUAAGCGAGGAGGAGGCUCUUUUGGUUAAUACCCAAGAUGAGUGGACGUUACUCGCAGAAUAAGCACCGGCUAACUCUGUGCCAGCCGCCGCGGUAA